rnacentral:tRNA from 1 species
CGGGGCGUGGCGCAGCCUGGUAGCGCACCUGCUUUGGGAGCAGGGAGUCGGGGGUUCAAAUCCCUCCGCCCCGA